CCAGUGACACCAGUAACACCAGUGACACCAGUGACACCAGUGACAGGGCACCUGGGCAUCCAGGAGCUCAUCAACACCGUGCACCAGUAAGGUACUGCUGCCACCAGUAACACCAGUGACACCAGUGACAGGGCACCUGGGCAUCCAGGAGCUCAUCAACACCGUGCACCAGUAAGGUACUGCCACCAGUAACACCAGUGACACCAGUGACAGGGCACCUGGGCAUCCAGGAGCUCACCCACACCGUGCACCAGUAAGGUACUGCUGCCACCAGUGACACCAGUGACACCAGUGACACCAGUAACACCAGUGACAGAGCAUCCAGGAGCUCACCCACAGUGCGCCAGUGCACCAGUAAGGUACUGCUGCCACCAGUAACACCAGUAACAGGGCACCUGGGCAUCCAGGAGCUCACCCACACUGUGCACCAGUAAGGUACUGCUGCCACCAGUAACACCAGUGACACCAGCAAGGUACUGCUGCCACCAGUAACACCAGUAAGGGACUGGCUGCACCAGUAACUCAGCAGGACCUGGUUGGGUGGAUUUGACACAGAACUGAGUCCAUGCCCUGUUGCAGGACCUGGUUGGGGUGGAUUUGACACAGAACCGAGUCAGUGCCCUUGAGCAGGACCUGGUUGGGGUGGAUUUGGUGCAGAACUGAGUCCAUGUCCUGUGGCAGGCCCUGGUUGGGGUGGAUUUGGCACAGAACCAGUCGGUGCCCUCGAGCAGGACCUGGUUGGGGUGGAUUUGGUGGAGAACCAGUCCAUGUCCUCGAGCAGGACCUGGUUGGGGUGGAUUUGGCACAGAACUGAGUCCAUGUCCUGUGGCAGGCCCUGUUUGGGUGGAUUUGGCAGAACCAGUCUGUGCCCCCGCGGCGCUGCCACGGUCCCCCCGCAGCGGUUUUUCCCCGUCCUUCUCCCUCUCUUUUCAGCUCGGUUCCUACCCCAGGUUGCGGGAGGAGACGGAGCGGAUCGUCACCACCCACAUCCGGGAGCGCGAGGGCAAAACCAAGGACCAGAUCCUGCUGCUGAUCGACAUCGAGCUCUCCUACAUCAACACCAACCACGAGGAUUUCAUCGGAUUUGCCAACGCGCAGCAGAGGAACACGCAGACCAACAAGAAGAGGGCGAUCCCCAACCAGGUGAUCCGCAGGGGCUGGGUGACCAUCAACAACAUCAGCAUCAUGAAGGGCGGCUCCAAGGAAUACUGGUUCGUGCUCACGGCCGAGUCGCUCUCCUGGUACAAGGACGACGAGGUACGGGGGGGAAAUCGGGAAGAUCCUUGGGGUAGGGGUGGGGAUUGGUGCCCAGGAGGAACGACAACCCCCAAAUCCGGGUGUGGGGGCUCGUCCAGACCCCGAAUUCCUGAACCUCGGGGUUGUGUGGACUCGGAUGAACCCGGAGGCUCCGGCGGCUCCCGGGGGUUCC
ensembl:lncRNA